AUGAGGGGCGUAGGGACCCAGUGGCUGUCAAGGUCAGCAACCCACGGAUCUCACAGAAGUCCAUCAGCCUCCACAGAUCUCACGGAAGUCCAUCAGCCUGAAGGAGAAAGCUCCCAUGACGCUGUGCUCCUGACACCCCAUCACCUUCCUGGCAUCUUGGCUGGCAGGACCCUCCGGGACCUCACUCCUCUGAGAUGCACUGCAGACCUCCCUGGUGACAGCAGCGUUCUGGUGACUCAGAGGCAGCUGCUGCGAUGACCCUCCAGACCCGGGGCAGUGACUGUGAUGGGGGAGCUGCUGAAGCCGGGUCUGUGAGGCGGCCCUGGCUGGCUCACUGGGAUUCGGUCAACCUUGAAGACUUGAGUUCCAACUCUGUUUCGUUGGACUAGGAGCACACAGCCAGCCAAACCCUGGUUAACAGAGUGCCGAAGAUCACAUGGAGAAAUGAGAUAGAGAGAGAAACCCCGAACGGCGCUGUUGCCAUGCCUCGGAACCUCUUCCCCACCAGCAUUCUGACUUUAUUUUCUCGUUUCUAGUCCACAUUUUGUUGGAAAAUUGUACACAUUCACGAUAGCAAACAAUACAGCAAUACGCUUCUACAUACUCUAUCAUCAACAGUUUUCAAUUCAUAAUUCACCUUAUUUUAUCAAUCUUUCCUGUACCCCCCAUGCUAUUUCUAGGCAAAUCUAGAUAACCCACCCUUCCAGCCUUAAACAUUUCAGGAUGUAACUGACCGAAGCUUUUUAGUAGAAUUGCUAGGUAGGGAGGAAGUUUAAGUUUCCAUGACUAUGCCAAGUCACAUUCGAAAAGAAGGCAAUGGGGAGAAAUAGACAUUGUGAAUUCACACUGAAUAACGGCGCAGAGACAGUUCCUUUAUUUGAGGCUAAAUGGAGACAGAGCCUCAGAUCCCCUAGCUCACUCCUCUCUGGCCGAGAGGGGAGGAAUUUGCAUCUGGGUGGGGAGCAGUGAGGAGGGAGUUUCGGGGUGGAGAUGGAAGGUAGUAGGUAGCAAUCCACUAACUGGCCCCAUAAAUGGUUUUGUGAGGCAGAAGCAGCUGUUUCGUGGGGGACUUGUGAGACUCUGAGGGAGGAGGAGGCCUCACAUGCCAAGGUAGCCUCUAGAGUCUGGGUUUUGGGAGCCCUGGGAGAUGGCGGCCUCCAUGGUCAGAGGACAACAGAGGGGGUCAGGACCAUGAGGACAUAGAGCUACAGGUGUGGCUGCUGGUGGGAUCAGGUGGUCUGACGACAGAGCACCACAAGACAUCCCUCAGGGACCUGUGUCGUUUAG
rnacentral:lncRNA from 1 species